UACGUAGGGGGCAAGCGUUGUCCGGAAUCAUUGGGCGUAAAGAGCGUGUAGGCGGCCCGGUAAGUCCGCUGUGAAAGUCGAGGGCUCAACCCUCGAAUGCCGGCGGAUACUGUCGGGCUAGAGUCCGGAAGAGGCGAGUGGAAUUCCUGGUGUAGCGGUGAAAUGCGCAGAUAUCAGGAGGAACACCGAUGGCGAAGGCAGCUCGCUGGGACGGUACUGACGCUGAGACGCGAAAGCGUGGGGAGCGAACAGG
rnacentral:rRNA from 1 species